GCUGGCUCUCGCGAACGGAUAAGGUCUGGUUCCCGUAUGGACUGCCCGCCUCCUCUUCCUCACCUCGCUGCGCCGCAGGGCGGCGGCGGUCGCCUCCUCCUCCUCCGCUUCCCCUGCCGCCGCACCCGCCGACGCCAUCCACGACGCCGCGCUCUUCCCUCCUGCCUCGUAACCUGCACAGGCGCCGUCCCAGGUCCCACAAACCCACCUGCAUUCGACUUCUCCCGAGCCCGAGCCCAUGGCUGAGAAGGAAGCUGACGCUGACAAGUACAAGGAGAAGGAGAAAGCACAAGUCCUGGCGCCCGCUCCAUCCGCCGAGGAGGUAAAGGCCGCAAACGGCGGCACUGCCGAUGGCGAGCAGGCCGGGAACGGAGAGGCGAAGAGCCACGAGGAGAUGAACGGCGACAAGAAGGCCGGUGUGGAGGUCGGCGCCAUCACGGCCGUUGCGGUCGUCGGGCUCCCCACACCUCCCCAGAGCAGCCUGUGCCUCCCCGCGCGCCCCCUCCCCCUUCCCCGUGGCAGCCCGCUUCCCCCGCCGCCCCUACCUACGAGGGACACAACAUGCUGGCCUCCCUCUCUCAGUACUUCUCAGUCCCAAUCCCCUUCCUCUCUCUUCUCCUCUCAGUAUCUGGCUGCGAUUGGUGCGGUAGCGACUCGGCGCCGGCCGAACCGCCGGUCACCGGCCCUAUGGUCAGCAUCUUCGUCACCCCCAUGGAGCCGCCGCAUGUGGCCUCGCAGUCGACGCCGCUCACCAGUCGUUUGCAACUAUUGGUGGUCGAGGUGGGUCUUCGGCAUCUCCAAUCGCGCUUUCCCGGCAGUCUCGUUGCUUGAUUUGAGACCUGGACGUGUUUCUCCGUGGCCCUACCCUGGGUCUCCUUGCUCGCACUGAUGCAGCAGGAUUUUGGCCUUCGCGUGCCGGCGGCUACCUUCUUCCAUCCUCACUGGUCGUCACCAUGAGAUGACGGUGGCACGGCCUCCGCAACUCCGUUGUAGGCUGCUUCUUCAGGUAUUACUUCUCUCUUUCCCUCCGCUCUCGUGAUUGCUCUCAAUGUUGUGCUGCGAUGACAGGCACUGAUGGUAAUAUAUGCCUGCUAAAUCAUAUGAAUGGAGAUGCAAUCGUGCAUUAUUAUGUGAUGACUGAUAAUCAAUUAUACAUUUUCAGAUGAUGUCCUCAAAAUUAAAUCGAUAAUGUACAUCUGAGAGUAAAUUCCUCAUCUUACUAUCAUGCUUCAUAAUAACAAAUGUCAACUUCAAUUUGACCCUCUUCACUGUAAAUCUGUGAUAAUGUGUCUGAGAGUAAGGUGUGCAUGUUGACUUUAAAGAACAGCUGCUAUGACUUGAUCUAGGCAUAAUAAUAUAUUUAAAGCUAGCUCGAUGAUGGCAUGUAGACUUAGAGCAAUUUCAUUUGUCUAUUUUGCUUCGCAGUGUUCCAAUAUUUUCCAAAAAAAAAAAGUGCUAACCACGUACCUGUGUGCCCACUGUCAAAAUUUUGUAGCUCCUACAAAGGCUCCCUUAGCACUGCAUGUGUGUAUGAAUUGAACUUUCUGCUUUUUUACUAAUUAUGGAGCGCAAUUAAGUUAGUGCAAACAAAAAUGUUAAUUAAAGAAACCACGAUCUGCCUUCACUGAAGCAUUCACAUGAAUGAUCUGCCAUCAAAAUUCCAUCAUAGCUGAUGAACGAAUCACUUAAUCUGCCUUAAUUGGUAAAGUUAAUCCGGUUCACAAUUUCUCAUUCUCGCUACUGAUCAAUAUCUUUUAAUCGCUAACUUGCAUGAUCACCAAUAAGAAUUGCAGUCUGAAUAGUCCUUUACGAAUACAUUAAUUCCUGAACCGACAAGUUGUAUGCAAGAAUUCCACCUUUCAUGUUUCCAGGAGCCCCAUGGCAACUAAAUCAGUAAGCUGACAGGUACCUCAUUAUCUGCCACUGUUUUCCUCAUAUGAUGGUUAGUCAUGAUUUCGGUAUUGAAAAGGGUUCCUAAUGAUCUUUUAAUCGCUAACUUGCAUGAUCACCAAUAAGAAUUGCAGUCUGAAUAGUCCUUUACGAAUACAUUAAUUCCUGAACCGACAAGUUGUAUGCAAGAAUUCCACCUUUCAUGUUUCCAGGAGCCCCAUGGCAACUAAAUCAGUAAGCUGACAGGUACCUCAUUAUCUGCCACUGUUUUCCUCAUAUGAUGAUUAGUCAUGAUUUCGGUAUUGAAAAGGGUUCCUAAUGAUGUAAUUUGCCAAGACAGUUUGCUAAGACAGUUUGAAAAGGGUGCCUAAUGUCAUAUGCUUCUGAGGCCAGUUUCAUAGUUUGUUUUUUAGUAUUAGGUAUAUUACCUCUGCCAUAUUUAGGUACAGUUAUGUGUUCAAAAGUUCUUCAGUAUUGCUAUUUAACAUGCACAUAAAAAUUUCUGCCAUUUAACCCACCUUUUCUUUUUCAACACAUAUAUUUUGCACCACGGAGAAAAAUGAAGAUAUAUUUGCGAAGAGCAAAGAGCUGAAUGUGGAUGAAGAUUGAGGUCAUCUUAGCUGGUAGAAUCAAUCGGGACACUAAGCUGAGGAAGAGAGAGUUUGGAGCGUCAGCAUUGUUCACCCUCAUCACCAUUGCCAUGAGUCUUUUUGAAUGACUAUUAAAAACUGCUAGGCUCUUUGUAUUUAGGAUAUACAUGCAAUCUGCUGGAGCCUAAAAAAAUGGCCUCACAAUUAACAUCAAAUACAUCUUUUUAGUUAACAGGUCAGUAUGUGAUACUUGAAAGCGCUGCUACUUUAUUUUGCUUCGGAUUAGUCAGUGCCUUUUGUUAGAUUGCAAAAUCAAGGUACCAGCAAGAUAUUUACUUGCUACAAUUGGUCGAUUUGCUAAUCUUAUACUUCAUCUAGCUUCAUUAGCAAAGCUGUACACUAGGAUCAGGAUAUAAAUCAUGUUACAGUGCGAAAGAUACGAUGCUAUGCCACUUUUUGGGGAGUUUCUCUCUUCAUUUCAGGUUGAUACUUAUGGGGAAUGCGAUCUCCUGUCUUGAUGGUACAUGCACCUGAAAGGUGAUGAUCUAAACUCGCUGCAACCCAAAGACCUGGUCAUGAUUGAUUAGGCACCUGAUAAUGGGCUGACGAACCUGAACGAAAAAAUGGUAACAAAUCUAUUCAAUCAAAGAUCCUGUUGUUUUGAUAUGGCAUUAGUCUGUUUUGUUGAGGCAGAUGGAAUAUUGGGAAAGGCACAUGAGAAGCGUAUGAGCUUAAUCUAACCAUGUGAUUUUGUAUUAUAAAUUAUGUUUGAACAUAUGGCUGUUUCACAUUCUUGAUUUCUUUCCCUCAUCCAUUGUUUUCUUGGUUGACUGCUGAAUAAGAUGUUGGAAGAUGAGAAUAAAUUGCUGGCCUUUAAACUGUUGGUUAUUCAGUUAGGCGGUUGCGCGGAUUGUGUGCACGUGCAGCUAGUUCAUCGCCAUGACCGCGAGUCCGUGGGAUGGCACGUUGGAAUCGGGAUCAUGGCGCAUCUUUCUGUUAGUUUGAUCGCAAUAAAUGGCAAGAGGAGCACGAGAAAACGCUGCGACUUCAUCAGCACAAAAACCAACCUCUGUCAGACACAUUCAGUUACUGUUGCGUUUUGGCAAUUGGUUGAAUUCCGUCAGGUGCUUCAGCCGAGCGCCUGAACAGCAGAGUUUGUGAGAGAGUAAGUGCCUGGUUUCCAACGAAGCCAACUCGACGAGAACGCGCGCGUGACGGGGGAAGCAAUGACUACAUCUUCUCCAGACGGUUGGCUGCUCCUGCUCGUAAGAAUUCGUUCUGCAUGCCUGGCUCUGUGCAGAAUUUUGCAGACACCACUCCAGGUACCGUUCAGUAGGCGCCUAUGUCGAGUUUGAAAAGAUUGAAGUUUCCAACUUGGGUAUCAAAGUGCAUAUCGAUCGACCUCUGCAUGGCACAAGAGUAACCGUGGAUUUGUAGCACUUGUGGCUGACCGAAGACAUCAGCGAACACAGUGUGUCGCAGUCGCAGCAGCGAUGCUCUUGCCGGAGUCCGAAAAAUAGUACUGUGCUGCAAGGGAGACGCUUUCGCUAGUAUGUAUGUGUUGAGUUCCUGAUCGAAUCGUGUCCCCACUCCUCGCACAGGUUAGACCCG